UACUGUUCCCUAUAGUUUGGAUUCAUUCUUGGGUCUAGGUCUAAGGUGACAGAUGUGGGAAUUGGCAGUGAGGAGAGAAGUCAGUCUUGAGUGGGGCUCCAGAGAGCCCUUCAACCUGGAUAAGCAAGACACAAGUUACAGAGAGGAGGAAGGGGAUCAAAGAGCUGCUGCGAGCCAAGGACGUUCUGAAAUCCCUGCAGACACCAGCAUGCCUUCUCUUCAGGUAGCCACCUGUCCCGUACCCGCCAUGCCGUGCAUUAAGCCGCUCCAUGUACUGAGCCACCACGUCCACUGCUUCGGUCUCAGGAAGCUGCAGGUUCCCGGACACGUUACAGCGCAGGUCGUUCCAGUCGGAGCGCAGCAGCUCGAAGUCCAUGGCGCCCACGCUGAAUGUGCGCUGCCAGUCAAUAGCAUCCUCACGCCAGCGGCCCAGCGGCCG
rnacentral:lncRNA from 1 species